AACGGGGCUAAACCUGACACCGAAGCUUAGGCAAUCCAGCAAUGGAUUGGGUAGGGGAGCGUUGUAUACGCGGAGAAACAGUAGCGUGAGCGGCUGUGGAGUGUAUAGAAGUGAGAAUGCCGGAAUGAGUAGCGCGAAUGCAGUGAGAAUCUGCAUGGCCGAAAGCCUCAGGUUUUUGGAGGAAGGUUCGUCCGCUCCAAGUUAGUCGGGAGCUAAGGUGAGGCCGGAAGGCGUAGCCGAUGCACAGACGGUAGAGAUUCCGUCACCACCAAAAGAGUUAAGCACAGGGACACAUUUGAAGUCUCAGAGCCGGGUGUUGGUUCCGGUAGAGAUCGAGGGAAGUUAGUACCGAAGUCUGGGAUGGAAGAUGGCGAGAAAAGCUGUGUGUAUUUCUGAGGUGCCCGUACCGCAAACCGACACAGGUAGGUAGGAAGAAGAUUCUAAGGCCAACGGGAGAAGGGUUGUUAAGGAACUCGGCAAAUUGACCCCGUAACUUCGGGAGAAGGGGUGCUCCAGAGAUGGAGCCGCAGAGAAUCGGCCCAAGCAACUGUUUACCAAAAACACAGGUUUGUGCUAGAUCGAAAGAUGACGUAUACGAGCUGACGCCUGCCCGGUGCUGGAAGGUUAAGAGGAGAUGUGCAAGCAUUGAAUCGAAGCCCCAGUGAACGGCGGCCGUAACGAUAACGGUCCUAAGGUAGCGAAAUUCCUUGUCAGGUAAGUUCUGACCCGCAUGAAAGGCGUAAUGAUUUGGGCACUGUCUCAACAGCCCGCCCGGCGAAAUUGUAGUACCGGUGAAGAUGCCGGUUACCCGCGACAAGACGGAAAGACCCCAUGGAGCUUUACUGUAGCCUAAUAUUGGGUUUCGAUGUUGCAUGCACAGGAUAGAUGGGACACUGGGAAACAAUCGCUUUGGCGGUUGCGGAGUGGCCGUUGGGAUACCAUCCUUGCGAUAUUGGAAUUCUAACCUGCGGCUCUGAAUCGAGUCGGGGGACAUUGUUAGGUGGGCAGUUUGACUGGGGCGGUCGCCUCCUAAAAAGUAACGGAGGCGUUCAAAGGUUCGCUCAGCUUGAACGGAAAUCAAGCAAAAGAGUGCAAACGCAGAAGCGAGCCUAACUGCGAGACUGACGGGUCGAGCAGUAACGAAAGUUGGAGUUAGUGAUCCGGUGGUAUGUGAGUGGAAAUGCCAUCGCUCAACGGAUAAAAGUUACCCUGGGGAUAACAGGCUGAUCUCCCCCAAGAGUCCACAUCGACGGGGAGGUUUGGCACCUCGAUGUCGGCUCAUCGCAUCCUGGGGCUGUAUUCGGUCCCAAGGGUUUGGCUGUUCGCCAAUUAAAGCGGUACGCGAGCUGGGUUCAGAACGUCGUGAGACAGUUCGGUCCCUAUCUGUCGUGGGCGCAGGAUAUUUGAUGGGAGCUGUCCCUAGUACGAGAGGACCGGGACGGACGUACCUCUGGCGCACCAGUUGUUCCGCCAGGAGCAUAGCUGGGCAACUACGUACGGAUCGGAUAAACGCUGAAAGCAUCUAAGCGUGAAGCCGACCCAAAGAUAAGAUGUCCCAUUGUUUUAAACAAGUAAGACCCCUUGAAGACUACAAGGUUGAUAGGCACGAUGUGUAAGUGGAGCGAUCCAUUCAGCAAGCGUGUACUAAUAGGUCGAGGGCUUGAGC
rnacentral:rRNA from 1 species